CAUCCACCUCUACGACCUCUCCACCACCUCUACGACCUCUCCACCACCUCUUCCCUUGGUUCCCUCCACCAACACUCUGCCCCUGUCACCGUUUUCUCCUUCUACGCCCCUUCCAAUCUCUCCUUGCCCCGCAACCUCAUCUUCGUUGACGCCGCUAGGUCUCACCAUUUUUUACGCGGACGACUUAGUCCAUCUUACCACGCUUUUCGUCCACCGUAACGUCGUUAUCAACGACCUCGUCCUGUACCCGUUCGGUGAGUGCGCCCUCAUCGUUGCCUAUGACAACUGCCUCGCCAUCGUCAACCUCGUCCACGACCACUGUAACUGCUGCUUGCGCCUCGACAAGGAAGCUACUCUGGUCAAGUUCAAUGCGUCCGGCGACCACUUUUUUAAGGCCACGAAGAAGAAGGUUUCUAUCCACCAGACUAAGGAUGCACGCAUAUUGUUCAAAUUGGAAUACUCCAAGCCCGUUCUCUACGCUGCUCCUGCUAGGGAGAUCUUCAUUGUGCUACCGGUGUUACGUUUAAGGGGUGUUUCAUUUAGGGAAGAUUCAGAGGACUUUUAAGGUACAAAAUGGUAAAGCAAAAUCCUAUUAGUGAGAAGGUGUUUUCCUUUUGGUUGAAUGGGGAUCCAAAUGCGAAAGAAAGUUGGUGAAAUAGUUUUCAGUGGUGUUAACCCAAAGCACUUUAAAGGAGACCAUAUUCCAUUUACUGAAAAAGGUUAUUGGCAGAUUGAAAUUGGAGAUUUUUUUAUUGGAGGUGCUUCUACAGCCUGUUGUAGCCGAAAUCAACCAUGCUAUUGGAGCUGAAGGAGUUCUCAGCGUAGAAUGUAAGGAAUUCGUUUCUCAAUAUGGAGAGAUGAUAUGGGAUCUCUUGGUAUCAGGGGUGAAACCUGAUGACAUAUGUUCCCAAGUUGGUUUAUGUUCUGCCAAAAGGAUCCAAUCUAAGAGCAGGAAUGAAUACAAGGGUGUUUGUGGUGUAUCGCCAUGUUAAGACCAUUGUAAUUGCUCCAAUAACUUAUUUCAAUGGUGUAGCUGAUGAGCAUAUAUGAGUGUAUACAGUUUUUGUUAGGAGGUUAACAAUGCAGGGGUUAGUGGAACAAUAACCAAAGACUUUGCUUUAUUGCCUUUAUUUCUCCUUAGUCGUGGGUUCUCCUUCCUUGGAUCGUUGGAUGAAAAAUGGAUGACUGAGCUAGCAUCAUCAAUGUCAGCAAGCCUCUCAAAAGAUAAGGAUUAAGUGAAUAACUAACCUUGAUGUAAUGAUUCUUUAAUGAAAACACAUUGGGCGAAUCUGGAAAAAAUUGAGAUGUCA